GUGGCGGACGGGUGAGUAACACGUGGGAACGUGCCUUUAGGUUCGGAAUAACUCAGGGAAACUUGUGCUAAUACCGAAUGUGCCCUUCGGGGGAAAGAUUUAUCGCCUUUAGAGCGGCCCGCGUCUGAUUAGCUAGUUGGUGAGGUAAAGGCUCACCAAGGCGACGAUCCAUAGCUGGUCUGAGAGGAUGAUCAGCCACACUGGGACUGAGACACGGCCCAGACUCCUACGGGAGGCAGCAGUGAGGAAUAUUGCACAAUGGGCGCAAGCCUGAUGCAGCGACGCCGCGUGAGGGAUGACGGCCUUCGGGUUGUAAACCUCUUUCGCCAGGGACGAAGCGCGAGUGACGGUACCUGGAUAAGAAGCACCGGCUAACUACGUGCCAGCAGCCGCGGUAAUACGUAGGGUGCGAGCGUGGUCCGGAAUUAUUGGGCGUAAAGAGCUCGUAGGCGGUUUGUCGCGUCGGCUGUGAAAUCUGGAGGCUUAACCUUC
rnacentral:rRNA from 1 species